CUCCACCUUAUCCCACUAUGUGGGGUCG
rnacentral:sRNA from 1 species